CUUUUCCUGCCGCAUGAAAAACAAGAAUUCCCAAUUUGCAGGAAAUGGGAAGUUUUCAUUGAGGGAUGGCUCUGAAUGAGCGCUAAUGCUGGCGUGACGCGUGUGUUUGUGGAGCGUAAUGGAUGGUGUAAAAAACAUCAGCGCGUAUUGACGCUCUUUUUUUCCUAAAGCCCUGCUUCCCCUUUUUUUCGAGCCUUGCCUAAAUUUGCGCAAAUUGAAAAGCGAUAAAGAAGCAGACUCGUCUAAUAAGCAUUACUUAUCAUAUUAAUUAAAAGAGGAUGACACAAUAUGGCUGACAGCUGUGGGUUUUGAUUUGUUGUGUUGCUAAUGUGACACUCAUUAUACAGGUCAUGGUGAGACAAAGCCGCAGGGGUAGCCGUGGUAACAUGCAGAUGCAGAGACUGAGGCCUGCUACACAAACACUGGGGUCUCGUCUAAACAGCCCAUAAUUACCUCAACGCGCAGACAAACAGUAACCAUGGAGAGGUGAGCGGCUGUUAUGACCUCAGAGCGGGACAUGGAUUCAGUUCUGUAAUUGUUUUUUUAAUGGAAUUAGUUUUUGCCGGAUUUUUCGAGAGGAUCCGUCUUUCUGCGCGAAAGCUCGCAUUCAAAGGCGCCGGCGUUAAUGACGGGAUGAAUGCUGAACUGCCUGUGCUCGGCCCUUUAUCUUCCAUCCCUCUUUCAUUUUAUGAGUCAGACAACAUGUUGGCCAGCCUGGUGUAUUUUCUGCUGACCCCAAGAGUGUUUUUGUGUGGGAGGUGACAUUGUUUCCUGACCCUGGGGAGAUCCUGUCACAGCGCACACUCAUCUGGUCCCUGAUUGCUUUCUCUUUCUCCUUGUUUUUCAAUAGCACGCAGUAUCUCUCCCUUCAUCUCAACACACAUUGCCUCAUGAGGAACAGUUUCACCUUGACCGGCUCAGAGUUUGAACCGAGCACCUUGCUGCCCCAUCCUUAGAAAUACAGGUUGUUAGCGGUUCAGUGAACUAUUAAUGACCAUUAUUUAAGGUUCUGGUUUGCUACACAUCUACAACUUAAAGAAUCUUCUCUACAUAUAAUAAACAUCAUGUCUGUCUUUAAUCUUGGUUUCUACAGUACACUAGAGUUGUUUUCUGGCAAUUUUGUCCUCUUUGUUUUCUGUUGGUUUCUUUCCAUUGUUCAUGCUCUAUUGUGAGCUCAGUGAAUGGAACAACAUUGCUGUGUGUUUCCUGUCAGUCACAUUGGUUUUAAAGGAGAGGGUGAACUCAUCGGCUGUUG
ensembl:lncRNA